rnacentral:misc_RNA from 1 species
UUAUAUAUAGACAAAUGGAUACACAUGAAAAUCACAUCACUCUAAACAAACACAAAAUAAAAUGCCACAACAGCUUUUAACUCCUGCUAAACAUUGAAUGGAGAAAAUAACCCACCAGCGUACACAAACACUAAACCACACUGUUCUUUCAUCACAUUUUCCCCCGACCCCACAUCGUCGUAAAGAGUCGCCACAAACAAUUCCAGCACGACCCA